ACUACGGGGGGCAGCAGUGGGGAAUAUUGGGCAAUGGGCGCAAGCCUGACCCAGCAACGCCGCGUGAAGGAAGAAGGCUUUCGGGUUGUAAACUUCUUUUAAGAGGGAAGAGCAGAAGACGGUACCUCUUGAAUAAGCCACGGCUAAAUACGUGCCAGCAGCCGCGGUAAUACGUAGGUGGCAAGCGUUGUCCGGAUUUACUGGGUGUAAAGGGCGUGCAGCCGGGAAGACAAGUCAGAUGUGAGAUCCCGCGGCUCAACCGCGGAACUGCAUUUGAAACUGUUUUUCUGGAGUACCGGAGAGGUCAUCGGAAUUCCUUGUGUAGCGGUGAAAUGCGUAGAUAUAAGGAAGAACACCAGUGGCGAAGGCGGAUGACUGGACGGCAACUGACGGUGAGGCGCGAAAGCGUGGGGAGCAAACAGGAUUAGAUACCCCUGUAGUC
rnacentral:rRNA from 1 species